rnacentral:tRNA from 1 species
GGCCAGGUGUUGGAAUUGGUAGACAAUCGGGACUCAAAAUCCCGUGCUCGCAAGGGCGUGAGGGUUCAAAUCCCUCCCUGGCCA